AACGGUCUAUACCUGCGGUACCUGCGGAGGGAUCAUUACAGAGAAUUUGCCCUUCGGGGUAUAUCUCCCACCCUUUGUUUACAAUACCAUGUUGCUUUGGCAGGCCCGUCUUCUUAGACCACUGGCCUUGGCUGGUCCGUGCCUGCCAGAGGAUCAAAAACCCUAUAUUUUUGUGUUUCUGAGUUUUAAAGUUUCAAUAGUUAAAACUUUUAACAACGGAUCUCUAGAUCGGAAGAGCAC
rnacentral:misc_RNA from 1 species